AUUGAACGCUGGCGGCAUGCUUUACACAUGCAAGUCGAACGGUAACAGGCCGCAAGGUGCUGACGAGUGGCGAACGGGGGAGUAAUGCAUCGGAACGUGCCCAGUCGUGGGGGAUAACUACUCGAAAGAGUAGCUAAUACCGCAUACGAUCUAUGGAUGAAAGCGGGGGACCGUAAGGCCUCGCGCGAUUGGAGCGGCCGAUGUCAGAUUAGGUAGUUGGUGGGGUAAAGGCUCACCAAGCCAACGAUCUGUAGCUGGUCUGAGAGGACGACCAGCCACACUGGGACUGAGACACGGCCCAGACUCCUACGGGAGGCAGCAGUGGGGAAUUUUGGCCAAUGGGCGCAAGCCUGAUCCAGCAAUGCCGCGUGCAGGAAGAAGGCCUUCGGGUUGUAAACUGCUUUUGUACGGAACGAAACGGCUCUGGUUAAUACCCGGGGCUAAUGACGGUACCGUAAGAAUAAGCACCGGCUAACUACGUG
rnacentral:rRNA from 1 species